GCCCCGGUAAACGGCGGCCGUAACUAUAACGGUCCUAAGGUAGCGAAAUUCCUUGUCGGGUAAGUUCCGACCUGCACGAAUGGCGUAAUGAUGGCCAGGCUGUCUCCACCCGAGACUCAGUGAAAUUGAACUCGCUGUGAAGAUGCAGUGUACCCGCGGCAAGACGGAAAGACCCCGUGAACCUUUACUAUAGCUUGACACUGAACAUUGAGCCUUGAUGUGUAGGAUAGGUGGGAGGCUUUGAAGUGUGGACGCCAGUCUGCAUGGAGCCGACCUUGAAAUACCACCCUUUAAUGUUUGAUGUUCUAACGUUGGCCCGUAAUCCGGGUUGCGGACAGUGUCUGGUGGGUAGUUUGACUGGGGCGGUCUCCUCCUAAAGAGUAACGGAGGAGCACGAAGGUUGGCUAAUCCUGGUCGGACAUCAGGAGGUUAGUGCAAUGGCAUAAGCCAGCUUGACUGCGAGCGUGACGGCGCGAGCAGGUGCGAAAGCAGGUCAUAGUGAUCCGGUGGUUCUGAAUGGAAGGGCCAUCGCUCAACGGAUAAAAGGUACUCCGGGGAUAACAGGCUGAUACCGCCCAAGAGUUCAUAUCGACGGCGGUGUUUGGCACCUCGAUGUCGGCUCAUCACAUCCUGGGGCUGAAGUAGGUCCCAAGGGUAUGGCUGUUCGCCAUUUAAAGUGGUACGCGAGCUGGGU
rnacentral:rRNA from 1 species